rnacentral:rRNA from 1 species
UAGGGAAUCUUGCGCAAUGGGCGAAAGCCUGACGCAGCCAUGCCGCGUGAAUGAUGAAGGUCUUAGGAUUGUAAAAUUCUUUCACCGGGGAAGGUAAUGACGGUACCCGGAGAAGAAGCCCCGGCUAACUUCGUGCCAGCAGCCGCGGUAAUACGAAGGGGGCUAGCGUUGCUCGGAAUUACUGGGCGUAAAGGGCGCGUAGGCGGAUAUUUAAGUUGGGGGUGAAAGCCCGGGGCUCAACCUCGGAAUAGCCUUCAAUACUGGAUAUCUUGAGUUCGGGAGAGGUGAGUGGAAUGCCGAGUGUAGAGGUGAAAUUCGUAGAUAUUCGGCGGAACACCAGUGGCGAAGGCGACUCACUGGCCCGAUACUGACGCUGAGGCGCGAAAGCGUGGGGAGCAAACAGGAUUAGAUACCCCGGUAGUCCACGCCGUAAACGAUGAGUGCUAGUUGUCGGCAUGCAUGCAUGUCGGUGACGCNGCUAACGCAUUAAGCACUCCGCCUGGGGAGUACGGUCGCAAGAUUAAAAACUCAAAGGAAUUGAC